rnacentral:rRNA from 1 species
UUUUCCGGUUGAUCCUGCCGGACCUGACUGCUAUCGGAUUGAUACUAAGCCAUGCGAGUCAUUGUAGCAAUACAAGGCAUACGGCUCAGUAACGCGUAGUCAACCUAACCUAUGGAUGGAGAUAACCUCGGGAAACUGAGAAUAAUAUCCAAUAGAACACUAUACCUGGAAUGGUUUGUGUUCCAAAUGAUUUAUCGCCGUAGGAUGGGACUGCGGCCUAUCAGUUUGUUGGUGAGGUAAUGGCCCACCAAGACUAUUACAGGUACGGGCUCUGAGAGGAGUAGCCCGGAGAUGGGUACUGAGACACGGACCCAGGCCCUAUGGGGCGCAGCAGGCGAGAAAACUUUGCAAUGUGCGAAAGCACGACAAGGUUAAUCCGAGUGAUUUGUGCUAAACGAAUCUUUUGUUAGUCCUAGAAACACUAACGAAUAAGGGGUGGGCAAGUUCUGGUGUCAGCCGCCGCGGUAAAACCAGCACCUCAAGUGGUCAGGAUGAUUAUUGGGCCUAAAGCAUCCGUAGCCGGCUCUGUAAGUUUUCGGUUAAAUCUGUACGCUCAACGUACAGGCUGCCGGGAAUACUGCAGAGCUAGGGAGUGGGAGAGGUAGACGGUACUCGGUAGGAAGGGGUAAAAUCCUUUGAUCUAUCGAUGACCACCUGUGGCGAAGGCGGUCUACCAGAACACGUCCGACGGUGAGGGAUGAAAGCUGGGGGAGCAAACCGGAUUAGAUACCCGGGUAGUCCCAGCUGUAAACUAUGCAAACUCAGUGAUGCAUUGACUUAUUGUCAAUGCAGUGCUGCAGGGAAGCCGUUAAGUUUGCCGCCUGGGAAGUACGUACGCAAGUAUGAAACUUAAAGGAAUUGGCGGGGGAGCACCACAAGGGGUGAAGCCUGCGGUUCAAUUGGAUUCAACGCCGGAAAGGGC